rnacentral:rRNA from 1 species
UACGUAGGGUGCAAGCGUUGUCCGGAAUUAUUGGGCGUAAAGGGCUCGUAGGCGGUCCAUCACGUCGGGAGUGAAAAGCUGGGGCUUAACCCCAGUCCUGCUUCCGAUACGGGUGGACUAGAGGUAGGCAGGGGAGAACGGAAUUCCUGGUGUAGCGGUGAAAUGCGCAGAUAUCAGGAGGAACACCGGUGGCGAAGGCGGAUCUCUGGGCCUUACCUGACGCUGAGGAGCGAAAGCAUGGGGAGCAAACAGG